rnacentral:rRNA from 1 species
UGGGGAAUAUUGCACAAUGGGCGAAAGCCUGAUGCAGCGACGCCGCGUGAGGGAUGACGGCCUUCGGGUUGUAAACCUCUUUCAGCAGGGACGAAGCGCAAGUGACGGUACCUGCAGAAGAAGCACCGGCUAACUACGUGCCAGCAGCCGCGGUAAUACGUAGGGUGCAAGCGUUGUCCGGAAUUACUGGGCGUAAAGAGUUCGUAGGCGGUUUGUCGCGUCGUUUGUGAAAACCAGCAGCUCAACUGCUGGCUUGCAGGCGAUACGGGCAGACUUGAGUACUGCAGGGGAGACUGAAAUUCCUGGUGUAGCGGUGAAAUGCGCAGAUAUCAGGAGGAACACCGGUGGCGAAGGCGGGUCUCUGGGCAGUAACUGACGCUGAGGAACGAAAGCGUGGGUAGCGAACAGG